GUAUGUAUCUAUGUUAGGAUCAGGGAUAAUUCCUGCCUGCUUCUCCCUUCUACUGACUUCCUUCAUAAUCUCUUUAAAAAGCAUGCUCAGUAAGCUUUGUUGUUAACUUAUACUGAUAAUAAUCAAAUAUUUUGAAAGAUCCAUUAGGUUCUCACCUGCUCUACUCCCAACACCUUGAAAGCGUGCAGAAAAAUCUAGUAUUUCCCUUACUGUCAUCUCAGGAAUAUGUAGGUCAUAUUGGCUUAUGUAAGCUGAUGUCUUCUCAGGCACGAACUCUUCCAAUCCAAGGCCGUUUGUUCCAUAAAGUUGGUAGGGGCUUCCCUUCAACCACUAGACAUUCUGCUUCCACAGACAGAUUCUUGUAUCUCACCUCUAUCGUGGGCAAUUUCACAUUUACCCUGUGGAAACAGUUGCCCAUGGUUAACCAUAGAUUAUUGGAAUCCAAUCAGCUAUAACCAUGAUUUCUCAGGUGAUUUACAUGGACCCAAGAGGAGAAAGAAAAAUAACAAAACGUUCUCAACAUGAUGCAGUUUACCUGUCUAUCCUUUCUCUUUGUUUCUGUAAAAGGCGAAGGUUGUCAUUUUCAAUAUGCCUGAUGAGAUUUUCAAUGAGAAGGCGCCUUUCUAGUGCUCCCAGCUUGGUAACAUCAAUGAUCUUCUUUUCAGAUUUUUCUUUAGCAACAUUUCCAUCAUCUCGAUGAUCAAAAACAGAUGUUCUCACUCGUUCAAGGGUGGGUAAUCUCUCAAUUGCAGCCCAAGUCAACUCAUGCUCAUCGUCAUCAUCAGCCCUCGUAGAACCAACACUGGAGCUUCUUCGAAAACUUGAUGCAGCAAUUCUGAAUGAUGACCUGAUGCUUCUUUCUAUCUCUGCUAACUCAACACUCAGGGUCUCACUUUCGUUCCUGCCCAGCUGAUCCAUCUCUUCUUCUCGAGUCAUUGGGAGCAAGACAGUGGCUACUGUCAUUUAAAGUGCAUGGUAUUUGUCAUUCAACUAAUCUGAAUGUGAUGGUUGAAUUUUCAGUUGAAGGAGGUGCAUCGUGGAGCUUCCACACAUUCUCUUCCUUUGUAUCCGCCUAAUCUUAUAACUUUUAUGAGAUCCACCAAUGGCAUGUGGAAUUGUGUUCAUUGAUGGGGAUUCCAAAGUUUUUUCAACAAGUGACGAGAUUUUGUUUCUGGGAAACUGUACUUCGUUGUGAUUUAUAUUUGUCUGAGAAAGGUAUGCAUCCCACCAUAAAAUAUUUUCCCUUUGGCGAAUCAUUACAUGUUGUUGGUGGUGGUGGUGGUGAAUAACUAUGUCCAAUUGAUGAGAGGACAAUUCUUCUCACCACUGCUGCUUGAAUUCUUUGAGUGUGGAUCACUUGUUUGCGUGGGAUUUUUAAACAAGUGAACAUAUUUUCUUAUCUUGUCCUUGACCUUGAAUGUGGUGCUUUUAACUUGUGAUGUCUCUUUCGCAUUGCAUACUAUGAUUU